AUGGCUGCUGCAGCACAUAGGCCCCGCCCCUUUGUGUACCCUCAGAAGAGCUCAGAGCAUUCUAGACAGCUCCACAGACAGAAACAGAUCAAGGACAGUCCUGAAACACUGUUUGCUGACUCUGACCGCAGUUCAAUGACCAACCUGCUCUUCUACACCGAGAACAGCUCCUCAUGGCAUACUGCUUUCUGCCAACACUUCACCUUCACCACAAAGAGAGGCAUCUGCAAAGGCAGACAGAUCCUGGUAUUCGAAGAUGCUGAAGGAAAUGAGGAAUCAAGAAUUUUAUCUCUGAACUUAUACCACAACGGCACUGUCAUGAUCCAAGGCUCAGAGCCUGCCCUCCGAGCAUUUUCAGCUGACUUUUUACAAAUUAAACAGCAGACAUGUCUUAAUACAAGUCUCGUACAAGACCAUAUAGAUAUGAACACAAACUCUUCUCCCGUAAAAGACACACAGAAGAAGACAACUGCAACAGCCUUAACUCAAUCUCCCAUGUCAAAAAUGAAGGAGAAAUUUUCACUUCUGGAAAUCGAUAUGGUGGAUCUAAGAGAAUUAAUCAUGUCCAAUUUGAAAGACAACAGCGACUUGGAGCAGCUUACAAAGGACAUGAUGAAUUUAAAACAAGAGACAGAAUAUCUGCUGAGAAACAAAGAGCAGAUGUCAAAGGAACUUCACCAAGACAGAGAAGAGCUGAAGGAACUCAAAUCAACUUUCAGAAGACAAAUCACAGAAAUUAAAACAGAAAUGCAGGAAGAACUGUCUGUCUUGAAAUCUGAACUUGGAAAGAAAGAUGAACUUAUAAACAACAUGAAGGAACAACUGCUUCAUGAUUUAUCUCCCAAAGGAUCCGAUGCUAAACACUUGACCGGUCUGGACGGUCAGCAAUCAUCUGCAGUGGACGAGCCUCAGUCUUCAUCAGCUCCUCACAACUCCAGCCCAGCAGAAGCCCUUCUUCUCAUCGACUCCAACGGGAAAUACAUCAACGAGAAACUCUUGUUUCCAAAAAUGAAAGCACAGAAAAUGUGGUGCCCGAACACUAGCAAGGCUCUUCAGAUCUUAUCUGAUAAAAAUCUGAACGAAACGUACAAGCACAUCAUAAUCCACACAGGGACAAACGAUCUACGAGCAGCAAAGGGCAACGUGGCUCCUGUGCUCCGAGAGCUGGCCAUCAGAGCCUCAGAACGCUUCCCAGAAGCUCAGAUAACUCUGUCCACGUUACUGCCACGGACUGAUGUGCCCUUUCACGUGAUCCACGGAAACAACGUAGAGCUUUCCAGAACCUGUGCACUCAUUCCUAAUGUUCACCUGGCACACCAUAAAGACAUCCGGCCCCAUCACAUGUAUGACUACAUACACCUCAACAAGAAAGGAGUACAACUUUUCGCAGGAGUGCUGAAAAGCACAGCACUUGGAAGAACAAACAGCAGAAAUCUGCACAGCAAGAACAGCUCCCAACUACACAGAAUCGUUAUUUGA
rnacentral:lncRNA from 1 species